GAAGAAAGGAAAAAUGGAAGUGGAAGAGGAGGAGGAGCCAAGCCACAAUAUUUAGUCUUGUAUAAUUUCAUGGUAUGAUGGACGCAGCUGAGGUGGGCCUCCGCUGUGGCCAGGCAGUUCAGCCUUGCCGUCAACCCUCCAGGUGAUGAGUGAGUUGCCGGUUGAGCUGGAGUGUCCUGGUAUUGGGGGCUCGUCUGGUAUUGUAGACAACCAUCUGUGUAACCUUUUCGUGAAGAGGUCCGGUGUGACCCCUGGCAGGUUCGUGAUGGUGUCCGGCACAGCGUUGAAGAGGUCCGCAGAAAACAACACGCCGAUUUAUUUGAAGUCAAGGACGGAGAUUAAAACGGCCUUGAAAAACACCACACCCGUUUUGUCCAGUGUGUUUAGAUGUGUUUUGGUAUGUUUGGGUAUAUUGAGGUGUGUUUGAAUGUGUUUGGGUGUGCACUACCAUCUAUACAAGACUUAUAUUAUAAAGACAGUAUAUAAAUAUCACUGAUAUGUUACAUGAAACAAACAGCUCUCAAACAUUUUACUUGAGUGGGAAAGGAGUGCUAGAACAAGCAAGGAGAGAAUGUAUGGACAGAGGGAGGUGGAGGCUCUUCUGCCGUAGCCACCCCGUUAUGGGACACUCCUGCAGAGAGUGAGGCAUAAGAGAAUAGAAUAGAUAAAUAGAUUCAAACAAAUUGAACUACUAUACUUACUGAUAAUGGUAUCCUGCAACUUCAAGAUGGCAAAAACUGUGUUUCUCUCCUUUGCCACAGCAGUUGUAUUGCACAGCCAAGGAGUUUGUCACAGCAUACCUAAGAAUGCACUUCAUUGUGUCUUGCAGGUUAGCACCCCUAUCACACAAAAAUGUGCAAUCUGAAAUGGAAAAGAAAAAUCUUAUACCUAAUCUAACACACACAAUCAUUCACAAAUAAUCACCACUCCAAUGCUUACCAUAAACUAAUUUGAAGUAAUAUCCCACUCAAUUGAAAACUCAAGAAAACUGCUUGUUCAGCUUUAUAUUCACCCUUGCAUUGGAUUUGGUAAGUUGAGGUUGUUAUUUAAGCCUCAUUAUCACUGCAAUAAAGUACUAAGCAUUAACCUGAAC